AAAUUACCAUCAUUGUUUAUGUUAUUUGAAGUCAAAACGUUCUUACAUUGGAGACAGCUGUGGAUUUUGAAAGCUUUGCUCAGCAAAUAUCCUGAAACAUAGGCAGCAGCAUUUUUGAGCAAUAAAUUGUUGCCAAUAUUUUGUUCUCGGUAGUCAUUUUCACCAAUCAACAGUGAGUUACUUGGAGCUUUUGCAUGGAACAGUUUCCUUUGGAAGAGGUCAAAAGUGAACUAAAAAAAACCUUUCGAAAAGCUCUGAUAAAUUGUAUUGGCGUGGGAUUGUCAGAAUUACCUCCUUGCUGGCAUAUUGUUCCAAAAAAAUUCUCUAGAGCAUCUGUGUUUAAUCUUCUGGUAAGCAAGAAUGCAAAAUUAUGUGAGGCAUGAAGAUAGGUCCAGAGACAGAUAAUGGCCUUUAUAGAUAUAAGCCAUCCCUUCAGUGAUUUGAUUCUGCCUGUGAUGUUUUUACCAUCUUUUACCACUUUGAUUCCCUGGAUAAAGGACAUUGCUUCUUUGAGAAAAGCAAUGUGAUUAUUGCUGUUGCUUAUUGCACUUCUUUGUUCUUUUGCUGAUUUCAGUGUGGAACUAUUGACGCAAUCAAAAAGCGAAUCAAAUUUGAAAAGCAACUCAGCUGUACCCAAGGCUGAUGGUGGUAGUGCUCCAAUUGAUGAAUAUGUGCAAAUCGAUGCAGCAACGGUGUGGCUGAAUAUUUGUGCAGCAUAUUUAACUUGAAAAUUAAUCUGAAAAUUAAUGCAGCGACAGAGAUGUAACGAAAAUAACAAUAUAUAUAUAUAUAUUAAUAGAAGCAAGAGGACAAUUUUAUUUCCUUACAACGGAAUCAAUACUUUAAAUUAUCUAAAACAUGACAAAUAUAAGGAACAUAUAGUUAAGAGCAUCUGGAAGUUAGCUACAAUCAUACAAUAUAAGAAUUUUCCCAACACAAUAUGGCAUUGGCAUUAAAUACAAUUGCACAAGUUUGCAAUUUCUCAAUGAACAUUUAUCGAGUGUUCGGGAUAUGACUAAAUUUGUCUGAAUUCUAAAGCACCAAAUCCAAUGUCAUACGAAAUAUCUUUUUUAGUGUAGCCCGUCCGUUGAUAAAUUUCACAUUGUUCCUUCUUGUUUCUGAUUUAAAGACGUUCGUUAAGCGCUUCUCCGCUUCCGUUCUUUACAAAUAAAUAAAUACGAAUAACCUUGA